AACGCUGGCGGCGCGCUUAACACAUGCAAGUCGAGCGAGAACCGGAGCUUCGGCUCCGGGGACAGCGGCGAACGGGUGAGUAACACGUGGGUAAUCUGCCCUCGGUUCUGGGAUAGCCCGGGGAAACCCGGAUUAAUACCGGAUAGCCUUUCUGGCCCUCGGGCCGGUGAGAAAGGUAGCUUCGGCCUCCGACUGAGGAUGAGCCCGCGGCGGAUUAGCUUGUUGGCGGGGUAACGGCCCACCAAGGCGA
rnacentral:rRNA from 1 species